rnacentral:lncRNA from 1 species
AAAGAUUCAGAAACAUAGAGGGCUGAACAAAUACUGUUUCAUCAAAGGAUCUCAAAGCUGAAAUAAUCCAGAAACAUAACUUGUAAACAUAUUACUGUUUCAUCUAACAUCUGAGUAUAAAAAAAUCAAAAACACCAAACAGUACUCAUGUUCUAUUGGAAAAUCUUGGGGAGUUCUGAUGGUAUUCACUCCAGGACAAGUUUGAGCAAUUAACAACUAGAAAUGAGUUGAACUCUUGCUAAUAUUCAAGUUUUCUUGGUUCAUUGUUGGCUGGAAUUUGGUUUUGAAUUUUGAUUUGGUUUCAAGUGAUUUUUCAAAUCAUGUUCUGUGUUGUUGCUAUUGUUGUUGUGUUUCCAUUGCUGACUCAGCUUCAUCUUAUCUCUUUCUGCUCUCCA